rnacentral:lncRNA from 1 species
GUCAUCUCCCAGCAAACUUCAAUACAAGGCUCAAUAAGAAUUCAUGGCUUACUGCUUACAGGAAUCAGAUGCAAAAUCCUAUAAGAAUUAAACCAAACCUUAACGACACAAACAAACGACAUAAGCCAAAACAAAAGGAUUUCUACGGCAAACAUUGUGCUUUCUUCACUAUUGCAUUUUUGGAUUCAAAUAUCGAAAUUAAAUACUUACGUUCUUAAGAGCAAAUUAACAGAACAUAAAAAUAUUCCACCAUUCGAAGCAACGAGAUAGCAACUCAAGGAUUCAAUAGAGCAACCAAACAAUUUAUCGAAUGCAUGACAUUAACCCACUCAAAAAAAUGAAUUUAAGAGAAGAGGAUGGACCUUUUGAUGCGCAAGCUUUCCCUUUUUAUUAAGAAACCAACUGAUUUACAUGGUUGCGACCAAAGCUUCCAAGUGAAAACACGAAAAAGAUCAAAAUCGGGACUUCAAACGUCAACCUCGACUCGCUUCAACCAGAAUUGAGAACGACCCCUUCGGCAGCCCCGAACUCGUCGAAAAACCAACAGAAAAGAAAUUAGCUAGGCGUUGUCUUUAGAGCUGAAGCGCAUUGACUUCGAAUAUGUUUCGAAGCUGCUGUGCCGGGGAGUUUCGGGCGCUGUUUUGGGUGGUUUUUGGAUGGAUUUUCGCUGGGUUUAGAGCUGUGUUUCCACGGAGUUUUCAGCUAUGUUUUUGGACUGAUGAGGAAUCAUUUCUGGGGUGUUUUGAGGUGAGAAACAGGGUUGUUUCACAGAAGUGAGGAGUUAAUGGGGAUGUUUGCGGCUGACUCGCUGGUUGCCGGAGAAGGAAAAGGAGCCGCUGCUCUUUCUCUAUCGAGAAUCAGAAAGAGAGAUCAUGGAUUCCUUUGUUGAGAAAUCGCUGCUGUGUGAUUUUGUUGAAGAAGGUGAAGAACAGGAAGGGGGGGGGGGGGGGGGUCUUGUUCUCUGUUUUUUUCCGUUCUCCAGCCUUUUUUUUCUUUUUGUUCUGUGUGUGCAUGUGUUAUAUAGAAAGAGAAUAGACAUGAAAGGAAAUAUUCCCCGGCUCUAAUUUUUGUCCUCAUUCCCCUCUCUAAUUUUUCUUUUUCCAUUUUUUUGUUCGCUUCCCCAUGUGCUAAAAAAUGUGAGUGAGAAUAAAAUGGGGUGCAUGUGAGUUUGUUACCAAGAGAUAAGGGACUCCAUUUUAAUGAAUUGAUUUUUCUUUGCAACUUUACUUCUUCCGUUGCUUCAUUUCUCGUUUUUGCAAAUUUUUCACGUUUUCUUUCUUUUUCUUUUUUCCUUUUUGUUUUGUUUUAUUUCCUAUUAAUGAUAAAAUAAAACUAGUUACAAAUACUAUUUAUCUAAAGUAAGCAAUAUUAAAAAGAGAACUAAAAUAAUUCUAUUAGAGAAAUUCAAAUACUACUCGAUAUUUACUAAAUACUUAUAACUUAAAAUUACACUAAACCAAAUAAAAAUAUUUUUUGAAACUUUUCUUUUAUCCUUUGUAAAAAUAAAAUAAAAUAAAACUAGCUAUCAAAAAUAUCAAUAAUCUAACAUAAAGAAAAAAUAAUUUUUUGUUAGUUUUCUUUUUUUUUUAGUCUUUGAAAUAAAAUAAACCGAAGAAGUUUAAAAAUAGCCAAAAUAACAAUAUUAGACCUAAACUCAAUAUCUACAUUGCUAAAAUGUGAAAAAUCUUGGGGAGGGUCNNNNNNNNNNNNNNNNNNNNNNNNNAAACAAGCGUUCCUACUAGGGAUCCAGCAUGAGGCUAUAUUAUUCUAGGUUUAAAACCUGGGUGUAUUGUUCUAGACCUGGCUUACCCGAGCGGACAACACGAGCCGGGGGGGGGGGGGCAGCGUAUCGGGAAUACAGAAGCUUCACCGGCUUUGCAACUUAUCCGAACCUCGUUCUAAAAUUGGAGAAGACUCUAGACAAAAGAGAAGUCACACGAAGUGCACCCUCCUCAAAUGAUUUAGAAGACUCAGAAAGAAGAAGGGUUUCGUAGCAGUUUAUAUACAGUUCACAAAAUAUCAAAGCAGUAAAAGCAGCAUUUAGCACGUUAGGCCCAAUCAUGUAAAUAAAACCAGAUAAUAAAUAAAGCCAAAUAUAACAAUUAUUCUAAGCUCGAAUUCUUGAACCCUGAACUAGAGAUUCUGGGUUCGUUUCCCCAGCAGAGUCGCCAGAGCUGUCACACUUCCUUUUUACACACCCGAAGGUAUAUAAGGGAGUUUGCCAAUUUAAAUGAUAUUAUUCGAUAUGAGAUUAUUUAUUAAUUUUUUAUUCAGAGUCGCCACUUGGAAUAUUUUUAUUGGUGUCCCAAGUCACCUGCUUAUUUUAAAUCCCAAAUCGAGGAAGAUUCGACUUUCUUUUUGAAGUUUGCGAACCAGAAAUUCUGAAUAAGGAAUUCUGUUAACCCGGGGGAAGGUGUUAGGCAUCCCCAGAUUCCGUGGUUCUAGCACGGUCGCUUAAUCUAUUACAAUUGGCCUAUUAUCUGAUUUUAAUACGUGUUUUAUCCUAUCGUAUAAUUUUAAAUUAUUAACCGCUUUUAACUAAUUUGAGGAAGAUUCAACGUUACCUAAAACACAUCUUUGAACCACGCCACAUGAAAUGUACCCACGAUCCACAACAUAUUUUAUUUAACUUUGUUGAGAUUUGGAUUUGGGUCACAUGAAAUGCACACCCAAGUUUAAGGAAAUUGAUUUAAAUUACGCGCCUAAAGCAACUACGCACCUUCACAUUUGCGAGGGCCAUGAAAAAUUCAACUGAUGACACACCUCGAUUUUUAAAAGAGCUAACUAAUUUUACGAGGGCCAUGGCUACUUAAUAAAAAUGGCACACCUCAAUUUCACGAGAACAAAUACUGACCCACAAGUAAAAACACCAAACCAAUCUCGUUCUCAACUCCAGUGAUUUGCUAACCAAAUUGUGCUCAAGGCUCUUAGUUGUUAACAAGUAAGACUAUAAAUUUGUAAUUUAAUGCCAUCUCCCAGCAAACUUCAAUACAAGGCUCAAUAAGAAUUCAUGACUUACUGCUUAUAGGAAUCAGAUGCAAAAUCCUAUAAGAAUUAAACCAAACCUUAACGACACAAACAAACGACAUAAGCCAAAACAAGAGGAUUUCUACGGCAAACAUUGUGCUUUCUUCACUAUUGCAUUUUUGGAUUCAAAUAUCGAAAUUAAACACUUACGUUCUUAAGAGCAAAUUAACAGAACAUAAAAAUAUUCUACCAUUCGAAGCAACGAGAUAACAACUCAAGGAUUCCGAAAUAGAGCAACCAAACAAUUUAUCGAAUGCAUGACAUUAACCCACUCAAAAAAAUGAAUUUAAGAGAAGAAGAUGGACCUUUUGAUGCACAAGCUUUCCCUUUUUAUUAAGAAACCAACUGAUUUACAUGGUUGCGACCAAAGCUUCCAAGUGAAAACACGAACAAGACCAAAACCGGGACUUCAAACGUCGACCUCGACUCGCUUCAACCAGAAUUGAGAACGACCCCUUCGGUAGCACUGAACUCGUUGAAAAACCAACAGAGAAGAAAUGAGCUAGGCGUUGUCUUUAGAGCUGAAGCGCAGUGAGUUCGAAUAUGUUUCGAAGAUGCUGUGCCGGGGAGUUUCGGGCACUGUUUUGGGUGGUUUUUGGACGGAUUUUCGCUGGGUUUAGAGCUGUGAUUCCACGGAGUUUUCAACUAUGUUUUUGGACUAAUGAGGAAUCAUUUCUGGGGUUUUUUGAGGUGAGAAACAGGGUUGUUUCACAGCUGGUUUUGGAGAGUGAGGAGUUAAUGGGGAUGUUUGCGGCUGACUCGCUGGUUGCCGGAGAAGGAAAAGGAGCCGCUGCUCUUUCUCUAUCGAGAAUCAGAAAGAGAGAUCAUGUACCCCUUUGUUGAGAAAUCGCUGCUGUGUGAUUUUGUUGAAGAAGGUGAAGAACAGGAAAUGGGGGGGUCGUUCUCUGUUUUUUUCCGUUCUCCAGCCUUUUUUUCUUUUUG